AAACUACAAGGAUUCCCCUAGUAACGGCGAGUGAAGAGGGAAGAGCUCAAAUUUGAAAGCUGGUACCUCCGGUAUCCGCGUUGUAACCUCGAGACGCGUUUUCCGUGCGGCGCUAUGGACAAGUUCCUUGGAACAGGACAUCGUAGAGGGUGAAAAUCCCGUACUUGCCAUGGAUGUACCGUGCUUUGCGAUACGUGCUCUAAGAGUCGAGUUGUUUGGGAUUGCAGCUCAAAAUGGGUGGUAGACUCCAUCUAAAGCUAAAUAUCGGGGAGAGACCGAUAGCGAACAAGUACCGUGAGGGAAAGAUGAAAAGCACUUUGGAAAGAGAGUUAAAAGUACGUGAAAUUGUCGAAAGGGAAGCGCUUGAAGUCAGCCAUGCCGCUCAGGACUCAGCCUGGCUUUUGCUUGGUGUAUUUCCUGGGUAGCAAGUCAGCAUUGGUUUGGAUCGUCGGAGAAGCAUAGUCGGAAUGUGGCGCCCUCGGGCGUGUUAUAGCCUUCUAUUGGAUACGACGAUCUAGACCAAGGAACGCAGCGCGCCUUAUGGCGGGUCUUCGGACACCUUCGCGCUUAGGAUGCUGGCGUAAUGGC
rnacentral:rRNA from 1 species